UACGUAGGGACCAAGCGUUGUUCGGAUUUACUGGGCGUAAAGGGCGCGUAGGCGGCGCCAUAAGUCACUUGUGAAAUCUCCGGGCUUAACUCAGAACGGCCAAGUGAUACUGCAGUGCUAGAGUGCAGAAGGGGCAAUCGGAAUUCUUGGUGUAGCGGUGAAAUGCGUAGAUAUCAAGAGGAACACCUGAGGUGAAGACGGGUUGCUGGGCUGACACUGACGCUGAAGCGCGAAAGCCAGGGGAGCAAACGGG
rnacentral:rRNA from 1 species